rnacentral:rRNA from 1 species
CUACGGGAGGCAGCAGUGGGGAAUAUUGGACAAUGGGGGCAACCCUGAUCCAGCCAUGCCGCGUGAGUGAAGAAGGCCUUAGGGUUGUAAAGCUCUUUUGGCGGGGACGAUAAUGACGGUACCCGCAGAAUAAGCCCCGGCUAACUUCGUGCCAGCAGCCGCGGUAAUACGAAGGGGGCUAGCGUUGUUCGGAAUCACUGGGCGUAAAGCGCACGCAGGCGGAUUGAUAAGUCAGGGGUGAAAUCCCGGAGCUCAACUUCGGAAUUGCCUUUGAUACUGUCUGUCUUCGAGUUCGGGAGAGGUUGGCGGAAUUCCUAGUGUAGAGGUGAAAUUCGUAGAUAUUAGGAAGAACACCAGUGGCGAAGGCGGCCAACUGGCCCGAUACUGACGCUCAUGUGCGAAAGCGUGGGGAGCAAACAGGAUUAGAUACCCCGGUAGA